UACGGGGGGGGCAAGCGUUGUUCGGAAUUACUGGGCGUAAAGGGCUCGUAGGUGGCCAACUAAGUCAGACGUGAAAUCCCUCGGCUUAACCGGGGAACUGCGUCUGAUACUGGAUGGCUAGAGAUUGGGAGAGGGAUGCGGAAUUCCAGGUGUAGCGGUGAAAUGCGUAGAUAUCUGGAGGAACACCGGUGGCGAAGGCGGCAUCCUGGACCAACACUGACGCUGAGGCGCGAAAGCGUGGGGAGCAAACAGG
rnacentral:rRNA from 1 species